GUGCACAUUGACCUAUGUGAAAGUUCAAAAGGAAAACUAAUGCUAACUGAUUAGCUGUCUCAACUGUGGGGAGAAAGAGACACGGUUGAGCCAAUUCUCUACUCAUCUUGAAGAGUAUACAAGUCGCAUUGUCAACGAUCCAGCUAGUCAUUAUCCCUGAAGAGUGUAUGGUAUCUGGAUACAUAUCACAUAUCAUCUCUACAGGGCUUCAGGAAGCACACGUAAGCCCGGUGAGAUGUGUUGCUGUCUCUGCCUUGCUCUCGGCGUGGGCCUGUGGCCGCUGG
rnacentral:lncRNA from 1 species